CUGCACACACUGGAGGGCCCUUCCCAGUCCCCACAUUCCAGAUUCAUCUGUCACCAGACCCACGGGAGGAGGCAGACUGGUUCCAGGAGGAUGAGAGCCCUUGUUCUGACACCUGUGUCUGAUUCCAUGAUUCCAGGACCUGCAAAUCCUCUCUGGACUACACCAAACGAAGUCUGGGAAUUUUCAUUGACCUCCAGAAGAAAAAGGAGGCGGCACAUGCCUGGCUGCAAGCAGGGAAGAUCUAUUACAUCCUGCGGCAGAGCGAGCUGGUGGACCUGUACAUCCAGGUGGCACAGAAUGUGGACCUGUACACAGGCAACCUCAACCUGGGGCUGGAGCUGUUUGAGGCAGCUGGAGACAUCUUCUUCAAUGGGGCCUGGGAGCGGGAGGAAGGCAUGUCCUUCUACCGGGACUGGGCCCUGCCCCGGCAGUGACUACGGGCAACCGCAAGGUGGAGCUGCAGCUACAGCUGUGCCACAAGCUGGUGUCACUGCUGGCCACACUGGAGGAGCCCCAGGAGGACUUGGAGUUUGCCUACAUGGCCCUAGCACUCAGGAUCACUCUGGGGGACCGGCCUAACGAGCGCGUGGCCUACCACCAGCUGGAUGCCCUGCACCACUGGCUGGGCCAUGGCAAGCUGGCGGAGCACUUCUACCUCAAGGCCGUUUAGCUCUGCAACUCGCCACUGGAGUUCGACGAGGAGACCCUCUACUAAGUGAAGGUGUACCUGGUGCUCGGUGACAUUAUCUUCUACGACCUGAAGGUGGGUGGAGAGGGACAGGGCUCGGGGUGUUCCUGACCCCCUUGGAGUGGGAUCUCCACCCAGACCCCAGAGGCCUGGGUUCCAGCCUUAGGAAUGGCCCAGUGGCCUCCCUGGAGCUCUACACCCAGCUGGAGGAGCCGGCAAGGUUAGUGGGUAAAACCCAGCUCCCCAGAUGGCCAGGCCCCACCCUCAGGAACUCAGUCUCAGCCAGGGAGGCUGACACAUGAGUGGGCAAUGGUGGCCUCUGGGUAAAGAAGGGGGAUUGUAGUCAGGGGGGCCCUCCUGGAGGAGGUGACACCAAAGCUGAGUCUUGACAGUCAAGUGUCAAGUUGCAUUUAACAAAGAACAGAGUCGGGAGAAGGACAUUUCGGAGGAUGGCAUCAUCCUCACAUUGACUCCACGUUGCAAGAUCCAACCCAAAUCCUGGCACCUCCUCUAGGAAGCCUGCCCAGGGUGCCAGCCUGCACUGAGCAACUCCUUCCUGGAGUCCCGAGACACCUUGAAUCUUCACACCACCCAGGAAGGGUGGGGUGGGACCAGUAUCUUACCAUUGGGUUCACAGACAGGGAAACCCCAGCUCAGGGCAGGUGCAGUGGGGCAGGGCCCCAGCCAACCAGGCUGAGGCCUUGCUGGGUCGGGUGUGUCUCGAGAGGAGGUGCUGUGCUCCCUCUGCCCCAGCCCUGCAGGGGUGGAGAGCUGGGACUGGCAGACUCAGACCUGGGGUGUCUCCACCCCUCUGCCCAGCAGGCACCGCCCCUCCUCAGCAUUGCACCGGCACCGCGUCAGUGCUCCUUAUGGGCUGAGGGGCCAGGGCACUCCAGUCCAGGGGCCGAGAUCUUGGGGGCCUUAGAACAACAUGAGGAGCUGGGGCAGCCCUAAGACCCUGCCCUGUAUCCCCUACGACAGGCCUGGGGCUGCCCGGGAGGCCUCAGCCCAGUGCUGGCGACACCUGAUUGUCAGAAGUGGUCCCUGUGGCCUCCCAAGUCCCAGCCAGACAUGGAGGUGCCAGGUGUCAGGCCCAGAGGGACGCUGCUCACCGCUCAGGGGCUCGCCUGGGACCCAGGGGGACGGACCUCCCAGAAGAGGCCUUUAUCUCUCUUGGUCAAGCCUGCCGCCCACUCCGCCUGUCCAGGAGAAAGGAAAGGGCCAAGUAGUACCUGAGACGCCAAAGUCCACGGUUGGGGUCGAGGGGCAGAGGCCUCCUUCACCUCCUUCCCAUGCCCAGCCCUCCUUUCCAUGCACAGUCCUCCUUCACCUCCUUCCCAUGCACAGCCCUCCUUCCCAUGCACAGUCCUCCUUCCCAUGCACAGCCCUCCUUCCCAUGCACAGUCCUCCUUCAUCUCCUUCCCAUGCACUGUCCUCUUUCCCAUGCACAGCCUUCCUUUACCUCCUUCGCAUGCACAGCCCUCCUUCCCAUGCACAGUCCUCCUUCCCAUGCACAGCCCUCCUUCCCAUGCACAGCCCUCCUUCCCAUGCACAGCCCUCCUUCAUCUCCUUCCCAUGCACAGUCCUCUUUCCCAUGCACAGCCUUCCUUCACCUCCUUCCCAUGCACAGCCCUCCUUCACCUCCUUCCCAUGCACAGCCCUCCUUCA